rnacentral:rRNA from 1 species
GGGGAAUAUUGGACAAUGGGCGAAAGCCUGAUCCAGCCAUGCCGCGUGUGUGAAGAAGGUCUUCGGAUUGUAAAGCACUUUAAGUUGGGAGGAAGGGCAGUUACCUAAUACGUGAUUGUUUUGACGUUACCGACAGAAUAAGCACCGGCUAACUCUGUGCCAGCAGCCGCGGUAAUACAGAGGGUGCAAGCGUUAAUCGGAAUUACUGGGCGUAAAGCGCGCGUAGGUGGUUUGUUAAGUUGGAUGUGAAAUCCCCGGGCUCAACCUGGGAACUGCAUUCAAAACUGACUGACUAGAGUAUGGUAGAGGGUGGUGGAAUUUCCUGUGUAGCGGUGAAAUGCGUAGAUAUAGGAAGGAACACCAGUGGCGAAGGCGACCACCUGGACUGAUACUGACACUGAGGUGCGAAAGCGUGGGGAGCAAAC